UAUUCCGAGGCGGUGUCCCAUCCACGUACUAGCCAGGCCCGACUCUACUUAGCUUCUGAGAUCAGACGAGAUAAGGCUUUGAAAAAGUUUGGCCACCUG